UACGAGGGGGGCAAGCGUUGUUCGGAAUUAUUGGGCGUAAAGGGCGCGUAGGCGGUUUGACAAGUCUGAUGUGAAAUCUAUGGGCUCAACCCAUAGCCUGCAUUAGAAACUGUCGGGCUUGAGUAUGGGAGAGGUGAGUGGAAUUUCCGGUGUAGCGGUGAAAUGCGUAGAUAUCAGGAGGAAUACCGAUGGCGAAGGCAGGUCUCUGGGCUGACACUGACGCUCAUGCACGAAAGCGUGGGGAGCAAACAGG
rnacentral:rRNA from 1 species